UACGAAGGGGGCUAGCGUUGCUCGGAAUCACUGGGUUUAAAGGGUGCGUAGGUGGCGCGUUAAGUCCGUUGUGAAAUCCCUUGGCUCAACCAAGGAAAUGCUUCGGAUACUGGCGUGCUUGAGGCUAGUAGGGGGUCACUGGAACUGACGGUGGAGCGGUGAAAUGCGUAGAUAUCGUCAGGAACGCCGAUGGUGAAGACAGGUGACUGGGCUAGUUCUGGACACUGAGGCACGAAAAGCGUGGGGGAGCGAACGGGGGA
rnacentral:rRNA from 1 species